AUAAAAGCCCUUCUGGGUCGGCGUCUGGCACUCGCCUUCUCACGCCGACUGCAACAUGAUCAAGACAGUAAUUGUGCUGGUUUGCGCUGCCCUUCUUUUGGCAUUUGCGGGAGCCAAUCCUGACCCCGAACCUGGUUUUGGUGGACAUGGAUUCGGACGCGGUGGGUUCGGCCAUGGAGGAUUCGGACACGGCGGAUUCGGAGGCUUCGGACGUGGCGGAUUCGGAGGUUUCGGACACGGUGGAUAUGGUCGCUGAAGCAGUGCCAUUACGUUCACUGGAUUU